ensembl:lncRNA
AUGUCAAUAAUGUUAAGAUUUAUGCAGUUAACCGUUUCUAAUGUUUGCAUGAUCAGGUUAAAGCAACAAAUUCAACGAGUGCUCCAAAAAGCAAAGACACUUCAACAGUGGAGACCUCUCAAAAACAAUCUAAAUCAGACACUGCAGUGGCACAAACCUGGGAAGACAGUCCCUAUAUGUUCAUCAUCAAAAUUGAGGCAAAUCAUCCACCUGCCAAAGAAAACAAAAUCAAGAAUUAAAUGUAAGAUUUAAAUUAGAACUCAAACAGCCGUUAUAAUGUUUUCUGAACGAGAACAACCUGUUUUGACAGCAAGGGACCUUUUGAAUAACAUGUACAAUUAUUAACCCAUUUUAUAAAUGCAUUAAUACUUAUAGUUUAAUAUAUAUUGAAUAUUUUAAUAAUAAUUUUUUAAAAUAUAAUUAUACAGUGGAGGUCAGGAUGCACGGCGCCUAUCAAUACAUCUCAGCAUCCGAAUGGCCAUUGAUGAUUGUGAGUACACAUAGUUUGUUGGUUUUUUUUUUUAAUUUUCUUUU